rnacentral:rRNA from 1 species
UACGUAGGGUGCAAGCGUUGUCCGGAAUCAUUGGGCGUAAAGAGCUCGUAGGCGGUCUGUCGCGUCUGCUGUGAAAACCUGGGGCUUAACCCUGGGCUUGCAGUGGGUACGGGCAGACUAGAGUGCGGUAGGGGAGACUGGAAUUCCUGGUGUAGCGGUGAAAUGCGCAGAUAUCAGGAGGAACACCAGCGGCGAAGGCGGCGCUCUGGGCCGGUACUGACGCUGAGGAGCGAAAGCGUGGGGAGCAAACAGG